UAUUGCCCAAUGGACGGAAGUCUGAGGCAGCAACGCCGCGUGCGGGAUGAAGGCCUUCGGGUUGUAAACCGCUUUUCUGCGCGAAGAGGAAGGACGGUAGCGCAGGAAGAAGUCUCGGCUAACUACGUGCCAGCAGCCGCGGUAAAACGUAGGAGGCGAGCGUUAUCCGGAUUUACUGGGUGUAAAGCGCGUGCAGGCGGUCAUGUAAGUGGUGCGUGAAAGCGCCCGGCUCAACCGGGCGAGGCCGUGCCAAACUGCGUGACUGGAGGCAGGUAGAGGCGCGUGGAAUUCCGGGUGUAGUGGUGAAAUGCGUAGAUAUCCGGAGGAACACCAGUGGCGAAGGCGGCGCGCUGGGCCUGACCUGACGCUAAGACGCGAAAGCAUGGGGAGCGAACGGGAUUAGAAACCCCGGUAGUCCAUGCUGUAAACGCUGCAGACUAGGUGUUGCGUGCGACGAGUAUGCAGUGCCGAAGCCAACGUGAUAAGUCUGCCACCUGGGGACUACGGCCGCAAGGUUAAAACUCAAAGGAAUUGACGGGGGCCCGCACAAGCAGCGGAGCGUGUGGUUUAAUUCGAGGCUACACGAAGAACCUUACCUGGGCUUGACAUGGCGGUGGUAGGGAACCGAAAGGGGACCGACCUUCGGGAGCCGUCACAGGUGCUGCAUGGCUGUCGUCAGCUCGUGUCGUGAGAUGUUCGGUUAAGUCCGGUAACGAGCGCAACCCUCGCCGCUAGUUACAAGUGUCUGGCGGGACUGCCCGUUGAACGCGGGAGGAAGGUGGGGAUGACGUCAAGUCAGCAUGGCCUUUAUGUCCAGGGCUACACACACGCUACAAUGGCCGGUACAAUGGGUCGCCAACCCGCGAGGGGGAGCCAAUCCAUCAAAGCCGGUCUCAGUUCGGAUUGCAGGCUGCAACCCGCCUGCAUGAAGUCGGAGUUGCUAGUAACCGCAGGUCAGCUAUACUGCGGUGAUACGUUCCCGGGCCUUGUACACACCGCCCGUCACGUCAUGGGAGCUGGUCAUGCCUGAAGUCGGUGGGCUAACCUCACGGAGGCAACCGCCUA
rnacentral:rRNA from 1 species